rnacentral:rRNA from 1 species
CUUGGUCAUUUAGAGGAAGUAAAAGUCGUAACAAGGUCUCCGUAGGUGAACCUGCGGAGGGAUCAUUACACAAAUAUGAAGGCGGGCUGGAACCUCUCGGGGUUACAGCCUUGCUGAAUUAUUCACCCUUGUCUUUUGCGUACUUCUUGUUUCCUUGGUGGGUUCGCCCACCACUAGGACAAACAUAAACCUUUUGUAAUUGCAAUCAGCGUCAGUAACAAAUUAAUAAUUACAACUUUCAACAACGGAUCUCUUGGUUCUGGCAUCGAUGAAGAACGCAGCGAAAUGCGAUAAGUAGUGUGAAUUGCAGAAUUCAGUGAAUCAUCGAAUCUUUGAACGCACAUUGCGCCCUUUGGUAUUCCAAAGGGCAUGCCUGUUCGAGCGUCAUUUGUACCCUCAAGCUUUGCUUGGUGUUGGGCGUCUUGUCUCUAGCUUUGCUGGAGACUCGCCUUAAAGUAAUUGGCAGCCGGCCUACUGGUUUCGGAGCGCAGCACAAGUCGCACUCUCUAUCAGCAAAGGUCUAGCAUCCAUUAAGCCUUUUUUUCAACUUUUGACCUCGGAUCAGGUAGGGAUACCCGCUGAACUUAAGCAUAUCAAUAAGCGGAGGAAAAGAAACCAACCAAUC